AAGUUGUUAUUGUUGACAUUUGAGGGAGAUGUAAAAUUACAUCUUGAAAAAUUUCAUCCUGCAGGGACUCCUCCCAUGGUGGAUAUGAUCUGUUUGGGUACGUCUUUCCUGACUUUGGUCUGAAAAGGUCCAGCUACUACUUUUCUGUGACUCCAAACCAACUGAAUGGGUGGAGUGGGCAAGUCUUUGGGGAGCCUUAGAAAAAAUGUCUCCAAGUUCUUCAUGGCCAACCCUUAACUCUUGCCUUCUCCAAAAACCCAACUUUCCCUACCAACUGACUUGCUGCCUGAAAUUAAAUUAUUAGUAAGUCAUUCCACCCCAUGAAAAAGAAAAAGAUCAAAUGUGUUCACGUCAUCUGGAAGAGAGGUUUUAAUGGAAUUUUCACAGUCAUUCUUCUGUGGAGAGCCCUAUAUUACCAACAUCUGAAGUCAUCUGAGACCACCUGUUGUACACACAGGAAGAAGAAUAGAAACAAAGAAUAAAAUGGAAGAACUCAUUUGCUAUUGGUUGUGUUUCCUAAGCGCCAUGCUUAGAAUGAAGUUCUACUGUAGCAAAAACAUUUCCAGACAUGGAAAGUGACGCCUUAGAGCAGGAGGGAAGGUCAUUUAAGCAGGAUGAGGUAAAAAAGAUGGCCUGGUGAGGGGGAAAAGUGUGUUGAAGAAAAUAAAGGUGGCAGAAUGAAUAAAUGAAUAAAAGGA
rnacentral:lncRNA from 1 species